UACGGAGGGUGCAAGCGUUAUCCGGAUUCACUGGGUUUAAAGGGUGCGUAGGCGGGCAGGUAAGUCCGUGGUGAAAUCUCUGAGCUUAACUCAGAAACUGCCAUGGAUACUAUUUGUCUUGAAUGUUGUGGAGGUAAGCGGAAUAUGUCAUGUAGCGGUGAAAUGCUUAGAUAUGACAUAGAACAUCGAUUGCGAAGGCAGCUCGCUACGCUAUUAUUGACACUGAGGCACGAAAGCGUGGGGAUCAAACAGG
rnacentral:rRNA from 1 species